GUAGCAAAGCAAUGAAGGGCUACAUGAAUUCGGCUUAAAUUUCUGCUCUGCUAUUUAUUAACUUCAUGGCACUGGGUAAAAUUUUCACUUUUUAAUCCUCAAUCUCUAACACGGAUGUAACAAUGCAUUCUUUUCAGAGCUGUUGAAGAAUACUAGCCAUAGGGACACCUAAGGGACAAUGUGAUUUAACACUAAAGGCUCUGAAGGACCUGCUAAAUGAGAAGAUAAAACUUGCAGCAGUGCAACACUGAAAUAAAGUACAUCAACGGCAAGGCAGGGGCAACAGAAUCAUCUGCUACAUCUUGACUCCCAAUUCUGAUGGGAAUUUCCAAUAUUGACACCCUAAAAAGGAUCAUGUAGCUGAAGGCACUUUGGAAUAAUACAAACCUUAAUUCAAA